rnacentral:rRNA from 1 species
GACGUAGGGUGCAAGCGUUGUCCGGAAUUAUUGGGCGUAAAGAGUUCGUAGGCGGUUAUUUAAGUCUGGCGUUAAAGACGGGAGCUCAACUCCCGCAUGGCGUUGGAAACUGGAUAGCUAGAGUACGGUAGAGGUCUCGGGAAUUCCAGGUGUAGCGGUGAAAUGCGUAGAUAUCUGGAGGAAUACCGGUGGCGAAGGCGGCAUCCUGGACCGACAUUGACGCUGAACGGCGAAAGCUAGGGGAGCAAACGGG